UACAUGGGGUGCAAACGUUGCUCGGAAUUAUUGGGCGUAAAGCGCGCGUAGGCGGUUACUUAAGUCGGAUGUGAAAGCCCUCGGCUUAACUGAGGAAGUGCACCCGAAACUGAGUAGCUAGAGUCCGGAAGAGGAGAGUGGAAUUCCUGGUGUAGCGGUGAAAUGCGCAGAUAUCAGGAGGAACACCCGUGGCGAAAGCGGCUCUCUGGGACGGUACUGACGCUGAGACGCGAAAGCGUGGGGAGCAAACAGG
rnacentral:rRNA from 1 species